rnacentral:lncRNA from 1 species
GAUACAACAGAUUACCUUCAUUGUACCUUCUGCUUCUUUUCAACAGCGUUCCAAAAGGAUAUUUAAAACAGCAACCUGAGAGGAGGCUUUCCCCAUGUACAUUUAAGAGCUACCUUCAGCCCUAACUUUUGUAGUCCAAGACUCUGCAACAAAAUAUGUAGAUGUCUCUGCCCUUUGGCCGUUCCUUGAAAUGCUGUAUUUCUGGAUGCUCUGAAAGAUGCAAGCUUAGUAGGCAGAGAUCAGGAGUGCUGUUCAAUUGUGCAGACUCAAGACUACUUGUUGGAGAAGCCUGACUCUGCCUGGGCAGAGCCCUUCAACAGGUGAAUGCGUUGCAAAAGUAGAGUUGAUGGUGCUUCUACCUUGCAUCCCAAGAUAUGGCAUAUUCUGCUUAUAUAAAACAGUUAACAUAUAAUCAGACCAGAUCCUAGCCCUAUACAAGUAAAGCUGGAUUUGCCCUAACUAUGGAAAUCCAACUAUUCACUUAUAACCCUGUGCUUUAAAAUGUCAUCUUGGCAUUCCUCUAGGUAGGUAUUCAGCUGUAUUUUAAAAACAUAUCCAUUUGAAAUGCUCUUCUAAAGUAUAGUGGGAGCCUGAGUUAAGGGAUCUCUGUUUAGGGGAGGAGGAUUGAUUAGAAAUAAUAAUAAAUUCUGUAGAAUAUGUGGCCA